GAACGCACAUUGCGCCCCUUGGUAUUCCAUGGGGCAUGCCUGUUCGAGCGUCAUUUGUACCCUCAAGCUCUGCUUGGUGUUGGGUGUUUGUCCACUCCCUGGUGUUUGGACUCGCCUUAAAGCAAUUGGCAGCCAGUGUUUUGGUAUUGAAGCGCAGCACAUUUUGCGAUUCUAGCCUGAAAUACUAGCAUCCAGCAAGUCAUUUUUCACUUUUGACCUCGGAUCAGGUAGGGAUACCCGCUGAACUUAAG
rnacentral:misc_RNA from 1 species